CUGUGGGACUGUCAUAUUCCUGAAAUUUUCAUGCUCCUCCAUGACGACAGACUUGGAGAUAACACAAGUGAAAGUAAUGCUAAACAAACACUAAAAAUAA